UACGGUUCGGCCCUCUGCCGAUUAAUAGAGAAGUCAGGUGAGAUUCCUGCAUAGUCCCGCUGCUGUGAUAGCGUAGGUUUUUUGUGAAUCAUUCAACCACUGAGAGCAAUCUUGGGAAGGUAAAAAAACCGCUGAAGAAAGAUUCGGAACGCUUAAGUCAGAAGAACUGCCGUAUUUUAUU
rnacentral:ncRNA from 1 species